rnacentral:rRNA from 1 species
AAAACGACUCUCGGCAACGGAUAUCUCGGCUCUCGCAUCGAUGAAGAACGUAGCGAAAUGCGAUACUUGGUGUGAAUUGCAGAAUCCCGUGAACCMUCGAGUUUUUGAACGCAAGUUGCGCCCAAAGCCAUUAGGCUAAGGGCACGUCUGCCUGGGCGUCACGCAUCACGUCGCCC